AUGGAUGGGAGGGAGUCGACCGCGACGUCGGGGCCCAACUACUCGCCCUUCUAUGUGCAGCACCGGGGCAUGGGCCCGCCGGGGGGAGUCCCCGGAGGCGGCCUCCACGCCCCGCCCGCCGCCGGGUACCGGCAGCAGCAGCUUGAUGCCGUCUCGGGCGGGUACACGUUCCAUCAGCCGCCCUUUGGGGCGCCCGCCCACAUUGGCCAGCAGGUGUACCACCAGAACCAUGUCGAGAUGGCGCCGCAGCACGGUGCUGGUGCCGGCGGCUCACAGCAUAUGACGCAGCACAGCAUCGGUGGCGCUGGCGGUGGCGGGUCGCAGCAUAUGGUGCAGCACAGCGCCGGCGGUGGCGGUGGCUCACAGCAUAUGGCGCAGCACAGCGGUGGCGGUGGUGGCUCACAGCAUAUGGCGCAGCACAACACUGGUGCUGGUGGCGGUGCUGACGGGGGCAUGGACAUUGGCAUGGGUGUUGUGGCCGUGAGCGGUGAUGCUAAAGGGGAUCAGGGGGGCGAGGCUGGCCAGGAUGAGCAGGUGAAGAAAAAGCGCGGGAGGCCAAGGAAGUAUAAGCCUGAUGGGUCGGUGACGCUGGGGCUCUCGCCAUCUCCGUCGACGCCUCAUUCGUCGAGCCCAGGAAUGGGCACGAUGGUUACCACACCUGGCUCAGGAUUUGGGCCCGGGACAGGAUCAGGGGGCUCUGGUUCAGGCGCACUAACGGAGAAACGUGGCAGAGGGCGGCCACCUGGGUCCGGGAAGAUGCAGCAGCUGGCUUCGCUUGGAAAAUGGUUUCUUGGCUCUGUUGGAACAGGCUUUACUCCUCAUGUGAUUAUUAUUUCAGCUGGAGAGGAUGUUGCUGCCAGAAUAAUGUCCUUCUCACAACAAGGCCCAAGAGCUAUUUGCAUCAUCUCAGCAACAGGGGCUGUCUCCACGGCAACCCUUCAUCAGGAUUCAGACUCCGGUGCGGUGACAUAUGAGGGUCGAUUUGAAAUCCUGUGUCUUUCUGGAUCAUAUUUGGUGGUAGAAGAAGGCGGUACCCGCACUCGAAGUGGAGGCCUUUGCAUAGCUUUGUGUGGCCCUGACCACAGGGUUAUUGGUGGGAGUGUUAGUGGAGUCCUGACAGCAGCUGGAACUGUUCAGGUGAUAGUGGGGAGCUUCAUGUAUGGCGGCGGGUCAAAGAAGAACAAAGGCAAAGCAGACCAGGAUGUGGAGAACGAAGAGCAGAACGGCGGCGGCGGCGGGGAAGAGACCCCCACGUUGGCACUGCCGGAGCACCCCCACAACAUGCCGCCCCACCCGAUGAGCGGAUGGCCGGCCGGCCUGAUGAGCCAGAUGGACCCGAGAUCGUCUCCCAUGUACGGCGGCGGGUCCAACAAAAACAAGACCAAAGCAGAGCAAGACAUGGAGGAUGAAGAGCGCAACGGCGGCGGUGGCGGUGGCGAAGAGCCCCUCGCAAUGGCGCAUCCCGAGCACAACAUGAACCCCGAGCAUAACAUGAACAUGCCGCCGCCCCACCCGAUGGGCGGGUGGCAGCCCGGCUUGAUGCGGCAGAUGGACUCGAGGUCCUCCAGCAUCGACAUCAACUCGAUCCGCGAGUAG
rnacentral:rRNA from 1 species